rnacentral:rRNA from 1 species
CCUACGGGUGGCAGCAGUGAGGAAUAUUGGUCAAUGGGCGAGAGCCUGAACCAGCCAAGUCGCGUGAGUGAGUACUGCCCUAUGGGUUGUAAACCUCUUUUGUCGGGGAGCAAAAGCCGGACGUGUCCGGCUGUGAGAGUACCCGAAGAAAAAGCAUCGGCUAACUCCGUGCCAGCAGCCGCGGUAAUACGGAGGCUGCGAGCGUUAUCCGGAUUUAUUGGGUUUAAAGGGUGCGCAGGCGGAUUUUUAAGUCAGCGGUAAAAUCGUGGGGCUCAACCCCAUCCAGCCGUUGAAACUGGGGAUCUAGAGUGUGCGAGAGGUAUGCGGAAUGCGUGGUGUAGCGGUGAAAUGCAUAGAGAUCACGCAGAACACCGAUGGCGAAGGCAGCAUACCGGUGCACAACUGACGCUCAGGCGCGAAAGCGUGGGUAUCGAACAGGAUUAGAUACCCUAGUAGUC